UGGGGAAUUUUGCACAAUGGGGGAAACCCUGAUGCAGCGACGCCGCGUGAUUUAGAAGGCCUUCGGGUUGUAAAAAUCUUUUCUAUGGGAAGAAAAUGCCAGUACCAUAGGAAUAAGGACCGGCUAAUUACGUUCCAGCAGCCGCGGUAAUACGUAAGGUCCGAGCGUUGUCCGGAAUCAUUGGGCGUAAAGGGUACGUAGGCGGGUAAGCAAGUUAGAAGUGAAAUCCUAUAGCUCAACUAUAGUAAGUUUUUAAAACUGCUCAUCUUGAGGUAUGGAAGGGAAAGUGGAAUUCCUAGUGUAGCGGUGAAAUGCGAAGAUAUUAGGAGGAGUACCGGUGGCGAAGGCGACUUUCUGGCCAUAGCAGGACGCUGAGGUACGAAAGCGUGGGAAGCAAACAGG
rnacentral:rRNA from 1 species